rnacentral:hammerhead_ribozyme from 1 species
GCACUGGUGAGGAGUCCCACAAUAGAACGAAACGGUCGUCCAGUAU